AUUUAAUCGAUAUUUAAAAAUUGGGUUGUUACACUUUCUCUCUCACUUAUAUUCUAGGUUUGGCUUAUGGAACUUCAGUACCAUCGUACCACCACCAUUGCAACUACUACACCACUCUCAAAUGUUAGACCCACCAUAACCAGACCCACUCCUCCCUUCUUCUCUCCAAAACAUGUCCAUCCGUCAUAUGCCUCCACACACCGACCAUUUUGUUGUCUCCCUUACCACAAUCUUCCACAAACAUCCACUCCUCUUUUUCUCCUCAUUUUGUCUUUCUUUCUUUCUCCAGAAUCGUUGUUGUAAUUAUUUCCUUAUGUCGACUUGAUUUGUGUGGAUCUAAAUCUGGUUAUAGAUAUGUAUGUCGAUUUGAAUUGGUUCUACAGCUGACCAUUUUCGAUGGACGGAACAUAUUGAUUUUGUUGUUUGAUUUAUAAGGCUUUCUUUAUAAAUGUCUUUCUUUAAUUUAUAGUUUUUUUUAUUUUUAUUUUUUUUAUUUUUACAAAUGAUUAUUCUUAGUUUUUUUUCUGCAUCUAAGAAACAAAUAGGAAGACGUGUUAACAGCUAAAAUAUCAUUUGUGUGUCUUUCUAUAUAAAGAUCCAGAAACAAACGGAAGAUGUGUUAACACCUUCGUCGGCGACCACCACCUCUACUAUACUUCACUGCAACAUCUUCGUCGUCUCAUCCCCAACAUCAAACAACCGCUACCAUUACUAUUUUCACAACAAAACCAUUACUAUGUCUUCGCCUUUACCUAUAUCAUUUCUAAAAAUCUCAUCACCUCUUCUUUUAUCACUCAAAUGGGUUAUUAGAUCUGAGAAAAUAAUUGGGUUUCUGAUCAUUUUGUGUGCGUAUGUAUAAAUCUGGGUUGUUCACAUGAUGUUCAAGUCUGUGUAUAUGUGUAUGUUUAUUUGAUCAAGAUGUGUGUUUGUUUUUUAUAUAGUUUUGUAGGUGUUUAGUAUAGAUUUUAGUGUUUUGUAGACAUAUCUUUGUAAAUUUUAUUUUGUAAAGAUUUAUUUUUGGUCGACAAUAUUAUUAUUAAUGUUCUUAACGGUAAA